UGGAACUGGUUCGAUCAUCCACUACCGCCCGUCAAUGCUCCUGGAAGCCAAGGCACAAAGAGUUUCCAACUCACCCCACCAAGGCCAAAUUCCCAACUGAAGCCUAGUUCAAGGCCGCAGUCAAGCGGCAGCAGGCAAAGGCAAUUCACCUAUGACAACAUCAUGGAAACUCCUACACCAAAAUCCACAAGGUCCACCAUUCUCCAUGCCACAAGACGGAUGCGAACACCACCUUCAAGUUCAAGACCAAGGGCUAGAGGAGCUGCUUCACCAUUCGACUUGCACAUAAAGGACGAUGAUAGCCUUAUGAGUUGCCCACCAUUUUCU
rnacentral:lncRNA from 1 species